GACGAACGCUGGCGGCGUGCCUAACACAUGCAAGUCGAGCGAAUGAAGUUCCUUCGGGAAUGGAUUUAGCGGCGGACGGGUGAGUAACACGUGGGCAACCUGCCUCAUAGAGGGGAAUAGCCUCCCGAAAGGGAGAUUAAUACCGCAUAAGAUUGUAGUACCGCAUGAUACAGCAAUUAAAGGAGCAAUCCGCUAUGAGAUGGGCCCGCGGCGCAUUAGCUAGUUGGUGAGGUAAUGGCUCACCAAGGCGACGAUGCGUAGCCGACCUGAGAGGGUGAUCGGCCACAUUGGGACUGAGACACGGCCCAGACUCCUACGGGAAGCAGCAGUGGGGAAUAUUGCACAAUGGGGGAAACCCUGAUGCAGCAACGCCGCGUGAGUGAUGACGGCCUUCGGGUUGUAAAGCUCUGUCUUCAGGGACGAUAAUGACGGUACCUGAGGAGGAAGCCACGGCUAACUACGUG
rnacentral:rRNA from 1 species